rnacentral:snRNA from 1 species
AUUUCAUCUGGAGGAAAGACUCUGUGACUGAGUGGUCAAAAAAAAAAAAAAAAAAAAAAAAAUCUGUUCUUAUCAGUUUAAUAUCUGAUACGUCCCCUAUCUGGGGACCAUAUAUUAAAUGGAUUUUUGGGACAGGGAGAUGGAAGAAGAGCUUGCUCUGUCCACUCCACGCAUUGACCUGGUAUUGCAGUACCUCCAGGACCGGUGCACCUCUC